GGUUCUGGUUUGUGAAAACAGGCGAGAUCCAACCCAGAAAAAGGCAUGCAGAGAGCAUGAGGAGAUAAACUUUAAAAAAAAAAAAAAAAUCAUGCUCUGAGCACAGACCCUUGCACACAACAAGGUGAAGGACCAGCAGCUGGCUCAGAGUUGCUGCACAAAGCACCAUUGCACAAGGCAGUGCAAAAAGCAAGAAUUGUAGGAGAUAAGGUGCCAAGUAGGAAAGAGAGAGGAAGGCAGAGGGAUCUUUGUGUCGCAUCAGAAAGCAGAGCUGGUGGCACUUCUACAGCUUCAGCUGCCUUGGUGGAGACCUCCUACAAAAAGGUUUCCAGUAGCACUUCAAAAUACCACCAUGGAGACAGGAAGAAGGCAUUUGGGAGGUUUUUGAUCUUCAGACAUCUGCAAUUCACUCUGUAAAUAAAGUCCCAAGCAAGACAAACAAAGCAGUGUAUGAACAGCUUCAACAGAACCUCAUGAAAAAACCCAGCGGUGAAAUUCAAAACACUAAAGGAAGGUGGAGUGUGCUUUGGUGAUGGUAUUUCUUCUUGCAACACCCCAAGAGCAUCGUGUGCUGUGAUGAUGGAACUGUUCAGCACCAGGUUUCAACUGGGAUACACUCAGGAUUUUUAAAAACCUAACAUUACUCCUCUGCCGACAAUCUAUAAAAGUUCUUAGCUACAUACCUAAUUUUUUUGUGCUCUUUAGGAUGCAUCUACCCUGCAUCCCCCCAUCAGGAAUCACACAACCCCUGGGGAUCACCUGGACUCCACAGGAAUUCCCCUGCCACCACUAAUUAAUGCCACCCAUUGGCAAAACACCUCAAAAAAUCAGCCAAGCUUUGAAGACUAAAAGGUUGCUGUCACAAAACAGGGGUGUAAGAUCAGACUUUUACCACUUCAGUACAGACUUUUCCUUUCAGAAUUUUCUAUUUCCCGAAUCAAGAACCUGUAAGAAGCAUAUAUGGAGUAGUAGAACAUGGCUUCUGGGAGAGCAGCUGCCCCACCAGCCCACUUUUCAGAGUUUCAGUUCUCUCCCUCUCUCUCUCAUCUGGCCUCCAUUAUUUCCAGGAUUUUUUUUUCAAUGAAUGCUGAACACUAAGAGUUAUUUGCCAUCAUUUCUUCUUAAUUAAGUGCAGAACUAUAAUUAAGUUAGAACCAGUAAAGCACAACAUACUUGAGUUAUUUUAUGUUCUCUUCCAAAAAAAAAGGACAAUAAAAAUAAAGAAAUCAAGAGGCAGGAUUGAAAAGUAAUUAGGAAUUUUCAGUUCCCAAAAGGAAAAAGCUUAAAGUCUGUUGUCAAUAUAUUUUCUCUGUAAAUCAGGUUCUUAGAAAAAUCCAUCCAAUUAGAAAUACACAUCCAGGCACAAACCCUCCUCUCUUCCAGAUUGUAAAUAAAUAUGCAUAGCUAGAUUUAUAUCUCUUUACCUUGCCCCAGUAGAAACAGUUAUUAGAAACAAUUAAAUUAUUAACUAAUUAGCAUAGCAUCUCACCAUUAACAGAAUUUUUUGCCUUGCAUUGAGAAGUAGCAGAGUGGAAAAUUAUCAUUGUGUUGCCAACAGAGCACCAGGAAGCUCUUCAGAAGCAGUGUGAAAUGCAGAAAUUCACUUUCUUACCCAAGGGGUGCUUUUUUCCCCCUCACAUUAUCACCCAAGUCAGUACUGCAGAAGAGAUAAAUGUCUAAGAAACAGAAUUAUUUUAUGGAUUAACUACAAGAAAUCGGGCUGCAAAUUCCUCAGCAUGUUGCCAUUUUACAGCUGGAUACUGUUCUGAUCUCACUGGUCAGGAGAAAGAGAAAUGCCAUAAAAACCAGAGAAAUUGUCUCAGCAAAGCAGAGAGAAGAGCAUCCCUACCUUGGCACCUACAUCUGCCUCCCUGGGCUGGGUGAUGGAGAUCAGCAUUCCCUAAACUGGAGCAAGGGGAGUGUGGGCUAUUUUUAUUUGGAGCAUUUAAUUUGGAGCCCUUAUGUUUCACAUUUUAAAGAAAACCCAAGAGUUUGUCUUUUUCUUGUUGAAAUGCAGGUUAAAAUACACAACUGCAUGGCACCAAGUUGCUGACAUCAUUUACAUCGCAUGAUGUCAUGAAUGCUGUCAAAACUGUGCCAUAUUUAUAAAGUAAAAAAUAGCCUUUUACAGAAACAGCUCACAUUUUCACUGCUGCACAGCUCUCCUCCUUUGCUUUUAUGCAGAUAACAUGCAUAAUUUACUUUCCUAUGCAAAUAAAUCCUAGCCUUUAUCCAACCCCUCUGGUUGCACCUAUUUAUAAAGGAUUAAUUCAAAGGCAUACAACUUCCUUUUUCACAAUUUCCUGUUCAAGACCUCCCUGUAACACCUUUUAAAUAACAGCAAAUAAGUUUCCAAAUAUCUGAUUUUAACCUUACACAAAUUAAGUAGAAACAACACCACCCCACCACAAACUAAACAGAAAUUAAACACCACCUCCACAUCCCCACAUAUUUUUAUUUUUUCCUCAUGUAAGGCAAACCCAUUCAGCCUGUGAGCUGUCAAACACGCUGCAUUCCUUGGUUAAGGAAGGAAAAAAAUAAAGAUGCAUUGUGUUUGGCCAGGAUGGCAAAGCAAUGUGCUUCUCACCAGCUGUAAAACUGCACUCCUAAAACCACUGUUACCACUCUUUUUGAUAAUUCUUUCAGCAUUUUAUUAUCAGCCAGUGAUCAAAGGUGGAAAUCACAUAUUCUUUUGCAUAAUCAUAUUCAGCUACAUUUUCUCCCUGGGGCUGGACCAUCUUUGCAGGAAGUCCAGCAGAAGUUCUACAGGAAGAUUCCCUAUACUGGCACUUAAAAAUAAUUUUGUUUUCAUCAUGGUAUUUAAAUCACCCCUCUAUUUCCUACUCAGAUACGUAGC